rnacentral:rRNA from 1 species
UACGUAGGGUGCAAGCGUUAAUCGGAAUUACUGGGCGUAAAGGGCUCGUAGGCGGCCAACUAAGUCAGACGUGAAAUCCCUCGGCUUAACCGGGGAACUGCGUCUGAUACUGGAUGGCUAGAGUGUGGGAGAGGGAUGCGGAAUUCCAGGUGUAGCGGUGAAAUGCGUAGAUAUCUGGAGGAACACCGGUGGCGAAGGCGGCAUCCUGGACCACGACUGACGCUGAGUGAGCGAAAGCCAGGGGAGCAAACGGG